rnacentral:rRNA from 1 species
AUUGAACGCUGGCGGCAGGCCUAACACAUGCAAGUCGAACGGUAACAGGCAGCAGCUUGCUGCUUUGCUGACGAGUGGCGGACGGGUGAGUAAUGUCUGGGAAACUGCCCGAUGGAGGAGGAUAACUACUGGAAACGGUAGCUAAUACCGCAUAACGUCGCCUGCCCAAAGGGGGGUAGCUUGGUGCCUCUUUCCAUCGGGGGCUCCCAGCUGGUAUGAGCUAGGAGGUGGGGUAGGGGCUCACCUUGGUGACGAUGCGUAGCUGAUAUGAGAGGAUGACCGGCCACACUGGAGCUGAGACACGGUCAAGACUCCUACGGGAGGCAGCAGUGGGGAAUAGUGCACAGUGGGCGGGAGCCUGAUGCAGCGAUGCGGAGUGUAUGAAGAAGGCCUUGGGGUUGUAAAGUACUUUCAGCGGGGAGGAAGGGAGUAAAGUUAAGACCAUGGGUCAUUGACGUUACCCGCAGAAGAAGCACCGGCUAACUCCGUG